rnacentral:rRNA from 1 species
CCAAUAGCGUAUAUUAAAGUUGUUGAGGUUAAAAAUCUCCUAGUCGGAUUUCAGUUCCGGACUGACGGUUCACCGCCCGGUGCCUACUGUCACGCUCCGAACAGCCUUAACACCGCCGGCUGGCACGGGGUGCUCUUCAUCGAGUGUCCCGAGUGGACGGCACGUUUACUUUGAAAGAAUUAGAGUGCUCAGAGCAGGUUCCUUGAAUGGCCUGAAUGUCUAUGAAUGGAGUAGGGCCUAUGUUCUAUUUUGUUGGUUUUCGGAACCCGAGGUAAUGACUAAUAGGAACAGGCGGGGGCAUUCGUAUUGCGACGCUAGAGGUGAAAUUCAUGGACCGUCGCAAGACGAACUACUGCGAAAGCAUUUGCCAAGGAUGUUUUCAUUAAUCAGGAACGAAAGUUAGAGGUUCGAAGGCGAUCAGAUACCGCCCUAGUUCUAACCAUAAACGAUGCUGACUAGCGAUUCGCCGGCGUUAUUCCCAAGAGCAGGCGGGCAUCUUCUGGGAAACCAAAGUCUUUGAGUUCCGGAGGAAGUAUGGUUGCAAAGCUGAAACUUAAAGGAAUUGACGGAA